GGGGAUGUAGCUCAGUUGGUAGAGCGCUUGCUUAACAUGUAUGAAGCUUUGGGUUCAAUCCCUGGUACCCCA
rnacentral:tRNA from 1 species